UACGUAGGUGGCAAGCGUUGUCCGGAUUUAUUGGGUUUAAAGGGUGCGUAGGCGGCUUAAUAAGUCAGUGGUGAAAGCCGAUCGCUUAACGAUCGAACUGCCAUUGAUACUGCUAGGCUUGAGUAUAGUUGAGGUAGGCGGAAUUGACAGUGUAGCGGUGAAAUGCAUAGAUAUUGUCAAGAACACCAAUUGCGAAGGCAGCUUACUAAAGUAUAACUUGACGCGUGAGGCAACGAAAGUGCGGGGAUCAAACAGG
rnacentral:rRNA from 1 species